GCAUCUUCAACGGUUGGAAAGAUUUUUUGGUCAGGGAUGAGCUCGCGGCCUAUCAGCUUGUUGGUGAGGUAAUGGCUCACCAAGGCGUCGACGGGUAGCCGGCCUGAGAGGGUGACCGGCCACACUGGGACUGAGACACGGCCCAGACUCCUACGGGAGGCAGCAGUGGGGAAUAUUGCACAAUGGGCGAAAGCCUGAUGCAGCAACGCCGCGUGAGGGAUGACGGCCUUCGGGUUGUAAACCUCUUUUAGCAGGGAAGAAGCGAAAGUGACGGUACCUGCAGAAAAAGCGCCGGCUAACUACGUGCCAGCAGCCGCGGUAAUACGUAGGGCGCAAGCGUUAUCCGGAAUUAUUGGGCGUAAAGAGCUCGUAGGCGGUUUGUCGCGUCUGCUGUGAAAUCCCGAGGCUCAACUUCGGGUCUGCAGUGGGUACGGGCAGACUAGAGUGCGGUAGGGGAGAUUGGAAUUCCUGGUGUAGCGGUGGAAUGCGCAGAUAUCAGGAGGAACACCGAUGGCGAAGGCAGAUCUCUGGGCCGUAACUGACGCUGAGGAGCGAAAGGGUGGGGAGCAAACAGGCUUAGAUACCCUGGUAGUCCACCCCGUAAACGUUGGGAACUAGUUGUGGGGUCCAUUCCACGGAUUCCGUGACGCAGCU
rnacentral:rRNA from 1 species